GGACUGGGCUUAGUUGGUAGAGUGCUUGCUUUGCAUGCACAAGGCCCUGGGUUCAAUCCCCAGCACCA
rnacentral:tRNA from 1 species